AGUGAACGCUGGCGGUAGGCCUAACACAUGCAAGUCGAACGGCAGCACAGUAAGAGCUUGCUCUUACGGGUGGCGAGUGGCGGACGGGUGAGGAAUACAUCGGAAUCUACUUUUUCGUGGGGGAUAACGUAGGGAAACUUACGCUAAUACCGCAUACGACCUACGGGUGAAAGCAGGGGAUCUUCGGACCUUGCGCGAUUGAAUGAGCCGAUGUCGGAUUAGCUAGUUGGCGGGGUAAAGGCCCACCAAGGCGACGAUCCGUAGCUGGUCUGAGAGGAUGAUCAGCCACACUGGAACUGAGACACGGUCCAGACUCCUACGGGAGGCAGCAGUGGGGAAUAUUGGACAAUGGGCGCAAGCCUGAUCCAGUCAUACCGCGUGGGUGAAGAAGGCCCUCGGGUUGUAAAGCCCUUUUGUUGGGAAAGAAAAGCAGCAGGUUAAUACCCCGCUGUUCUGACGGUACCCAAAGAAUAAGCACCGGCUAACUUCGUG
rnacentral:rRNA from 1 species